GUCUACAGCCAUACCACCCUGAACGUGCCCCGUCUUGUCUGAUCUUGGAAGCUAAGCAGGAUAGGGCCUGGUUAGUACUUGGAUGGGAAAAUUUAUAUUCUAAUCAGAUGGAAAAUGCAGAAGAAAUGAACA
rnacentral:rRNA from 1 species